rnacentral:rRNA from 1 species
UACGGGGGGGGUAAGCGUUGUUCGGAAUUACUGGGCGUAAAGGGCUCGUAGGCGGCCAACUAAGUCAUACGUGAAAUCCCUCAGCUUAACUGGGGAACUGCGUGUGAUACUGGCAGGCUCGAGGUCGGUAGGGGUGAGCGGAACUCCAGGUGGAGCGGUGAAAUGCGUAGAUAUCUGGAGGAACACCGGUGGCGAAAGCGGCUCACUGGACCGAAUCUGACACUGAGGUGCGAAAGCUAGGGUAGCAAACGGG